GAUUGUUGAUGAUGAUGAUGAUGAUAAUGAUGAUGAUGAUUCAACCAGCAUACUUCUUGCUAGUUCAUUAUCACCAUCGUCAUGAUGAUGAUUAUUA
rnacentral:miRNA from 1 species